rnacentral:rRNA from 1 species
CUUACACAUGCAAGNNNNACGAUGAAGCCUGGCUUGCCAGGUGGAUUAGUGGCGCACGGGUGAGUAAUGUAUAGCUAACCUGCCCUUCAGUGGGGGACAACAGUUGGAAACGACUGCUAAUACCCCAUACUCCUUUUAGACACAAGUUUAAUCGGGAAAGUUUUUUCGCUGAAGGAUGGGGCUAUAUGAUAUCAGUUAGUUGGUGGGGUAAUGGCCUGCCAAGACUAUGACAUCUAACUGGUCUGAGAGGAUGAUCAGCCACACUGGAACUGAGACACGGUCCAGACUCCUACGGGAGGCAGCAGUGGGGAAUAUUGCACAAUGGAGGAAACUCUGAUGCAGCAACGCCGCGUGGAGGAUGACACAUUUCGGUGCGUAAACUCCUUUUAUAUGGGAAGAUAAUGACGGUACCAUAUGAAUAAGCACCGGCUAACUCCGUGCCAGCAGCCGCGGUAAUACGGANGGUGCAAGCGUUACUCGGAAUCACUGGGCGUAAAGCGCGCGCAGGCGGCCUGAUAGUUGGAAGUGAAAUCCUAUGGCUUACCAUAAACUGCUCCCAAACUGUCAGGCUAAAAUCUGGGAGGG